GAUGAACGCUGGCGGCGUGCCUAAUACAUGCAAGUCGAGCGAACAGACGAGGAGCUUGCUCCUCUGACGUUAGCGGCGGACGGGUGAGUAACACGUGGAUAACCUACCUAUAAGACUGGGAUAACUUCGGGAAACCGGAGCUAAUACCGGAUAAUAUAUUGAACCGCAUGGUUCAAUAGUGAAAGACGGUUUUGCUGUCACUUAUAGAUGGAUCCGCGCCGCAUUAGCUAGUUGGUAAGGUAACGGCUUACCAAGGCGACGAUGCGUAGCCGACCUGAGAGGGUGAUCGGCCGCACGGGAACGGAGACACGGACCAGACUCCUACGGGAGGCAGCAGUAGGGAAUCUUCCGCAAUGGGCGAAAGCUUGACGGAGCAACGCCGCGUGAGUGAUGAAGGUCUUCGGAUCGUAAAACUCUGUUAUUAGGGAAGAACAAAUGUGUAAGUAACUAUGCACGUCUUGACGGUACCUAAUCAGAAAGCCACGGCUAACUACGUG
rnacentral:rRNA from 1 species